GACAGAAGGGGCAAGCGUUGCUCGGAAUUACUGGGCGUAAAGCGCACGUAGGCGGCGCAGCAAGUCAGGGGUGAAAUCCCGGGGCUCAACCUCGGAACUGCCCUUGAAACUGCAGUGCUAGAAUCUUGGAGAGGCGAGUGGAAUUCCGAGUGUAGAGGUGAAAUUCGUAGAUAUUCGGAAGAACACCAGUGGCGAAGGCGACUCGCUGGACAAGUAUUGACGCUGAGGUGCGAAAGCGUGGGGAGCAAACAGG
rnacentral:rRNA from 1 species